GAUGAACGCUAGCGACAGGCUUAACACAUGCAAGUCGAGGGGCAGCGGAGACGAAGGCUUGCCUUCGUCAGCCGGCGACCGGCGCACGGGUGAGUAACACGUAUGCAACCUGGCCGUCACAGGAGGAUAAACCGGGGAGAAAUUCCGCCUAAUACUCCAUAACACACCGCAGGGACAUCCCUGAGGUGUCAAAGGAAGCGAUUCCGGUGACGGAUGGGCAUGCGGCGCAUUAGCUAGUCGGCGGGGUAACGGCCCACCGAGGCGACGAUGCGUAGGGGUUCUGAGAGGAAGGUCCCCCANACUGGAACUGAGACACGGUCCAGACUCCUACGGGAGGCAGCAGUGGGGAAUAUUGGGCAAUGGGGGAAACCUGACCCAGCAACGCCGCGUGAACGAAGAAGGCCUUCGGUUGGUAAACUUC
rnacentral:rRNA from 1 species